GUAAUCUAAAUUUUGUAUAAUUAUAACUACACGAAACCAUAUGAUCUAAUUUAUAUUUAGUUAUUAGACUUUAAAACUUUGGCGUAGCAUAGCCAUUUGGUUAGUAUAAAUUAGGGGUGACAGGCCUAACAAGUUUGGGGAUAUCUUGAUAUUAAGAAAAUAUAUUUAGUAUAUAAGUCAAUUUGGAAAUGGUAAGGUUUCCAAAGGGUAUCAAUUUAGUAGAAUUUUUAUUUGGCCUGUGUAAAAGUUACCAAAAAUAUGGUUAAAAAUAUUAAUUACUUUAAAUUAUAUUACAAACUUAAUUAAUUGAUUAUACUAGGUCGCAAAAUAAUAAUGAUUUCAUUAGUAUUAUUUAAUAGGCUUUAGUUAGGAAUUCGGCAAAUUUUUCCUCGACUGUUUAUCAAAAACAUAGCCCCAAGUAUUUAAAUUUAGGGUUUAACCUGCUCAAUGAAUUUUAAAUAGCCGCAGUAUACUGACUGUGCAAAGGUAGCAUAAUCAGUUGGCUUAUAAUUGAAGUCUGGUAUGAAUGGGAAUUUGGGGAAAAGCUGUCUUACUAAAUUGUUUUGAACUUACUUAAUAAGUGAAAAUUCUUAUUGUGAGAAAAAAGACGAGAAGACCCUAGAAAUUUUUUUAAUAUUAAAUACUAAUAAUUUUGUUGGGGCGACAGGGUAACAUAAAACUUACUCAAAUUAAUAUAAACUUAUUUAGGAAAAUAGAUAAAUUACUCUAGGGAUAACAGCAUAAUAUUUUAAAGAUUGUGACCUCGAUGUUGGACUAGGAAAUUUAUUACCUAAAAGGUAAUAAAAUAGGCUCUGUUCGAGCUAUUAUAUCCUACAUGAUCUGAGUUCAGACCGG
rnacentral:rRNA from 1 species